ACUCUCUCCGCUCUGCUCAGCUGCACCUGACCCAGUGGUGCAGCUGUCGUUUUUCGAGAGGGAAAGCAAAUGGGUCCAUGUGUGCACGGCAGCGAGACCCUCUGAGAUGGUCUCCCUGUUCCUUUUCGGACUUGACACAA